UCUAUCUGUCAGAAUAUGUGACGAAAUUGUUUUUCAAUCUGCUUCGAGUGCAUAAUGCAGGUAUAGCAUGGGGACUCGGCAAAAGUUAGCAGCUGAAUUUGGUUCCACACGAAACAGGCAGGGAAACCUUGGAAAGCAGCAUACAGCCAAUGUGACAGUAACAUUUUUACGAACUGAGAAAUAUUAUGAGGAACUAGCAAGCUCUGUUUUCUGUGGUGUCUUGCCAGGGGAUGGCUGGAGCGGGCGCCUGGAAGACAGCAUGCUUCAAGGAUGCAUUCCUGCCAUAAUUCAGGUGAUAUACCAUCAUUUUUCUUGUGUCGCGUAUCAAAGGACCAUAUAAUGUGUAUCUGGAAAGACUUAGGGACAUGACAGAACAUCUCAUCAUGUGUUCUCUUAUUCAGACCUAUCUGCUUUCUUGGCUUAAAUUGUAGGAUGGAAUUUUUCUGCCAUAUGAGAAUAUACUAAACUACAACAGUUUCGCAGUCCGCAUACAAGAAGAUAACAUUCCAGACCUUAUUAGAAUACUUCGAGGAAUAAACGAGACACAAGUUGAGCUUAUGUUGGGAAAUGUGCGCCAGAUGUGGCAGAGGUUUUUCUAUCGUGACUAUAUUGCUAGAGGCGAAGAGACAGAAAAGGUUGUUCUCUGAAGAGGCACCCUGGUCAGUUGAGGUCUCAAAACUAGAUGGUGAUGACGAUGUAUUUGCCACAUUUAUACAGGUAUUGCAUUAUAAACUAUACAAUGACCCUUGGCGGCAAGGUCUCCUGCAAACAAAGGAAACUGGGUUGCCGAACUUCUUCUCAAAAGCUUCCUGAAGUGCUGGACAGAGAUUGCAAUUGUAAAGAAUAGGCAUACUUUAGCUCCCUCACUUAAGAAAAGGAUAGACAUAAUCUUAGGAAGGAUCUAUAGAUUUUCUUACCUGCAGGAUACAUGGGGCUAGCGUUCUCAAAAGAGGAUGCAUGAGACCCAGAAAAUGAAAGAUACUCUAUUUGUGUUUAUUUUCAUUUCUUCAUGUUCUUUUGACCGAUAACCCGAGUUGGAUAAUUUCCUGGAAGAAAAGGGAGAUGGUGGCAGC